rnacentral:lncRNA from 1 species
AAAUUAAGAAAAUGAUAUCCCAGAAAUGGUCUACAAUAAAUUUCUGGAUGAUGACAUGCUUAAUUAAUUAGAGCACAUUUAAUUAAGAUAUUUACAUAUAGGCUCCAUAAAAUUAAGAGGAUAGAGCCUUGAUCUGUUAGAAGUCAUCUUCUUUCAAACGGAGACAAGGAUCUGGGUAUGUUUUAAGCCAGAAUCUGAUAGCAAAAAUGAUGAAUUAUUGGGGAGUAACUAGUAGGCGAAGAAUAAGCUCAAUUAUUGCCUUGAAGGGCUUUACAAUCAUUGCUAUUCACUGUUGACUUUGCUUGACUGCUAGUUUUCCUCCUGUUACCUUUGUUUUUUGUUUAUAUAUAUGAAAUACCCUCUUGCUCUUUAUGUGGUGUCUGUUGAGUAUUCUUUUGUGUUUGUUUCCAUGUGUCUGUAAAAAAAAAGAAAUAUGAAAGGGUUAGUGGAAGAGACAAAGAUAGAGGUCUUGGAGUUUGGCUUUAAUUAAAAUUUAAAUAUUCUAUCUUUCUCUUUUCGUUCUUCUUAUCUUGGUGGCUGAAGUGUGAACAAAGAAUCAGAUAUCACUCAUUUUUUUUCUUCUUCUUGUUUCUUCAUUCUCCAUUACUAUUACACUUAUCCAUCUUCACUUUACAAGUUUUUGUCACUUUCUUCGUUUCCAUAAUUAAAUAUCCAUUGAAACAACUUGAAAUAAUAAUAAGUAUUAUCUUAGUUUGGGUGCUUAUAUAUAUAAUUGCAUAUUAAUAAUUAAUGGUGAGGGAGCACCAGAACUACUGAGAGAUGCUAUGCAUAGUUUAAUUACUUGUUUUGGUACUCACGUUGUGUGCAGAUCCAAGUGCUGAAGUUAUUGCUUUAUCACCGACCACACUAAUGGC